rnacentral:rRNA from 1 species
GACGAACGCUGGCGGCGUGCUUAACACAUGCAAGUCGAACGGAAAGGCCCUGCUUUUGUGGGGUGCUCGAGUGGCGAACGGGUGAGUAACACGUGAGUAACCUGCCCUUGACUUUGGGAUAACUUCAGGAAACUGGGGCUAAUACCGGAUAGGAGCUCCUGCUGCAUGGUGGGGGUUGGAAAGUUUCGGCGGUUGGGGAUGGACUCGCGGCUUAUCAGCUUGUUGGUGGGGUAGUGGCUUACCAAGGCUUUGACGGGUAGCCGGCCUGAGAGGGUGACCGGCCACAUUGGGACUGAGAUACGGCCCAGACUCCUAAGGGAGGCAGCAGUGGGGAAUAUUGCACAAUGGGCGGAAGCCUGAUGCAGCAACGCCGCGUGCGGGAUGACGUCCUUCGGGUUGUAAACCGCUUUCGCCUGUGACGAAGCGUGGGUGACGGUAAUGGGGAAAGAAGCACCGCCUAACUACGU